GGCUCCCCACAGCCUCUCACAUGCCUUGCCUCUCCUUUGCCUGUCCCCUAGGCUCAUCCUACUCCUGGUUACCCCUCUAACUUAUCUUCUACACACGGAAGUCCUGCUUACUUUCCUCACAUUCCAGUAACUUGCUUACAUUCUCUGAGCCUUAGUUUGCUCAUCUAUAAAGUGGGAGAAAAGCCACGCCCAGUUCAUGGAUUUCUGUGGGUGAGUGGGGAGCAUGCUCAGAAUAUGCUCAAGGGGCAGGCCAGAACGAGCACAACUGCUCAGUGUCACUGAGUAGCCUGCUCAUCAAGAAGCAGGCCAACGCUGAGGGAGCAGUGACUACACCAGGCACUCUUCUAAACAUAGCCACCAUGGGAAGUGGUCCAUGUUGUGAACUACAAGAGUGUGAGUAGGGACUGAUAAUCAGCCAGCAUUCUGCUCAUCAACCUCUGCCUACUAAAGGAGCCCUCCACUAAUGGUACCAAGGUGCCGAGUGGGUGGGUGGGGCCUGGAGGAAGAGGGCUGGAAAUGACGACUUCUACAAGGCCUUCCCAAAUGAGAAACCUGGGUCCGUUCGCUGCAACACAUAUCUGGCCUCCACCCCAGAUGUGCAGCCGUCCCAGCAGCCAGAGGCCAGCUCACCCCACCCAGAUCGCCGGCCAGCUGCAGCCCCCUGUUUCCCAGGGAAGAGAACUAAUAAAG
rnacentral:lncRNA from 1 species